ACGAACGCUGGCGGCAUGCCUACUACAUGUUAGUCGAACGAGAUCUUCGGACUCUAGUGGCGCACGGGUGCGUAACGCGUGGGAAUCUGCCCUUGGGUUCGGAAUAACUUCUGGAAACGGAAGCUAAUACCGGAUGAUGACGUAAGUCCAAAGAUUUAUCGCCCAAGGAUGAGCCCGCGUAGGAUUAGGUAGUUGGUGAGGUGAAGGCUCACCAAGCCGACGAUCCUUAGCUGGUCUGAGAGGAUGAUCAGCCACACUGGGACUGAGACACGGCCCAGACUCCUACGGGAGGCAGCAGUAGGGAAUAUUGGACAAUGGGCGAAAGCCUGAUCCAGCAAUGCCGCGUGAGUGAUGAAGGCCUUAGGGUUGUAAAGCUCUUUUACCCGGGAUGAUAAUGACAGUACCGGGAGAAUAAGCUCCGGCUAACUCCGUGCCAGCAGACACAGCGGUAAUACGGAGGGAGCUAGCGUUGUUCGGAAUUACUGGGCGUAAAGCGCACGUAGGCGGCUAUUCAAGUCA
rnacentral:rRNA from 1 species